rnacentral:rRNA from 1 species
AUUGAACGCUGGCGGCAGGCCUAACACAUGCAAGUCGAGCGAGCGGCGGACGGGUGAGUAAUAUCUGGGAAACCGCCCGUCGGAGGGGGAUAACUACAGGAAACGGCAGCUAAAACCGCAUACGAUCAGAUGUGCCCAGAUGGGAUUAGCUAGUAGGUGGGGUAACGGCUCACCUAGGCGACGAUCCCUAGCGGGUCUGAGAGGAUGACCAGCCAGCCUGAAACUGAGACGCGGUCCAGGCUCCAAGGGGAGGCAGCAGUGGGGAAUAUUGCAGAAGGGGCGCAGGCCGUGUGCCGCCAUGCCGAGUGUGUGAAGAAGGCCUUCGGGUUGUAAGGCACUUUCAGCGGGGAGGCGUUACCCGCAGAAGAAGCACCGGCUAACUCCGUGCCAGCAGCCGCGGUAAUUC